rnacentral:tRNA from 1 species
GGAGAUUUAGCUCAGCGGUAGAGCACUUGCCUAGCAAGCGCAAGACCCUGGGUUCGAUCCCCAGCUCCG